GGGAAUUCAUCUUGCACAUUCUUUACUCCCAAUUUUGAGCCGAGGACUGAAACGAUCUUGAUCUGCGAUUGGUCCAGACCCCACUCGGUGAGCAUGUUCAAGGCAGCAAUGGCAGUCCCUCCAGUGGCAAUCAAGGCUGUGCCGCAUACGAGUAAGUCUUCGUACACCAAUAAUCUGCCAUAGUAAAAGAAACAUACGGUCAAGGAGGAAUACGAGGUCGGCCGUGACCUGAGAGGGGAGCUUUGAAUAGUAUCUGGUCAUAGCUUGCAAUGACACUUUAUCUCGGAAGAGGCCAAGAUGGAGCACAGUGGCUUCCGGGAAGCUCUCAAGCGCAGCUGCAGCACAUGGGAUGAGGACUCCGUAUAGUUUUUUGCCUGACUGUGAUGAGACGUACCAUCGGUUAGUCCAAUACCGGCUCGCAAGAUGGGAGAGAGGCCAAUGCGCAAGGGGAUGGUUUGGCCUGUGAAGGGAGCGA
rnacentral:sRNA from 1 species